GUUGCUGGGGGAGGUAUCACACCUCCUGCCCCCAUGACAGGCUCAGCAAUAAAUGCAGCAAUCGUCUCUGGUCCCUCUUUUAGGAUGAGACUCUCCAAACUGUUGGCUAAUCUGGUUGAGAAUUCCUCCUCUGUCUCACCUGGAAGAUGAUAACGCCAGUAAUGAGGGCAGUCAGUAUGCAAUACGAAUGGAGCUGGAAGAUCAAAUUUUUGGUGCAAAGCUGGAAGGCCCGAAAGACU
rnacentral:misc_RNA from 1 species